rnacentral:rRNA from 1 species
GUGUCAGCAGCCGCGGUAAUACGAAGGGUGCAAGCGUUACUCGGAAUUACUGGGCGUAAAGGGUGCGUAGGUGGUUGUUUAAGUCUGCUGUGAAAGCCCCGGGCUCAACCUGGGAAUGGCAGUGGAUACUGGACAGCUAGAGUGCGGUAGAGGGUAGUGGAAUUCCCGGUGUAGCAGUGAAAUGCGUAGAGAUCGGGAGGAACACCAGUGGCGAAGGCGGCUACCUGGACCAGCACUGACACUGAAGCACGAAAGCGUGGGGAGCAAACAGGAUUAGAAACCCGCGUAGUCC